rnacentral:rRNA from 1 species
ACGAACGCUGGCGGCGUGCUUAACACCUGCAAGUCGAACGGUGAAGCGCCUUCCUUUUUGGUGGGUGUGGAUGAGUGGCGAACGGGUGAGUAACACGUGAGUAACCUGCCCCCUUCUUCUGGAUAACCGCAUGAAAGUGUGGCUAAUACGGGAUAUUCUGGGUCUGUCGCAUGAUGGGUCUGGGAAAGAUAUUGUUUCGGUGGGGGAUGGGCUCGCGGCCUAUCAGCUUGUUGGUGGGGUGAUGGCCUACCAAGGCGGUGACGGGUAGCCGGCCUGAGAGGGUGGACGGUCACACUGGGACGGAGACACGGCCCAGACUCCUACGGGAGGCAGCAGUGGGGAAUAUUGCACAAUGGGCGCAAGCCUGAUGCAGCGACGCCGCGUGAGGGAUGGAGGCCUUCGGGUUGUGAACCUCUUUCGCCAGUGAAGCAGGCCUGCCUCGUUUGUGGGUGGGUUGACGGUAGCUGGAUAAGAAGCGCCGACUAACUACGUG